rnacentral:rRNA from 1 species
GGUUGCGAUCAUACCAGCACUAAUGCACGGAUCCCAUCAGAACUACGCAGUUAAGCGUGCUUGGGCGAGAGUAGUACUAGGAUGGGUGACCCCUGGGAAGUCCUCGUGUUGCAACCCC